CGCUGAAAACGGGUUGACCUGUAAUGGCAAAGGCGUGUGUGAAUGUGGAAAAUGCAUCUGUGAUAAAGAGAGCCUUCACCGUGGUCCAUUAUGUGAAGAUUGUCCUACUUGUCCUGGCAUGUGUUCAGAAACUAAACACUGUGUGCAAUGCAAAGUAUUCGAGUCUGGCAACUACACUAGUGACGUUUGUGAUAAACUGUGCGACUAUGAAAUAAGUGUCGUUGAGGAACUUUCUGAAGAUUCCACGGGCAAGAAAUGUCAGUUUGUAGACGAUGACCAUUGCACAUUCCAAUACAAA